AUUGAACGCUGGCGGCAGGCCUAACACAUGCAAGUCGAACGAGUGGCGGACGGGUGAGUAAUGUCUGGGAAACUGCCUGAUGGAGGGGGAUAACUACUGGAAACGGUAGCUAAUACCGCAUACCACCGCUUUGCCCCGGUUGGGUUUAGCUAGUAGGUGGGGUAAAGGCCCACCUAGGCGAAGAUCCCUAGCUGGUCUGAGAGGAUGACCAGCCACACUGGAACUGAGACACGGUCCAGACUCCUACGGGAGGCAGCAGUGGGGAAUAUUGCACAAUGGGCGCAAGCCUGAUCCAGCCAUGCCGCGUGUAUGAAGAAGGCCUUCGGGUUGUAAAGUACUUUCAGCGGGGAGGCGUUACCUGCAGAAGAAGCACCGGCUAACUCCGUGCCAGCAGCCGCGGUAAUUC
rnacentral:rRNA from 1 species